rnacentral:rRNA from 1 species
GACGUAGGGCGCGAGCGUUGUCCGGAUUUAUUGGGCGUAAAGAGCUCGUAGGCGGCUUGUUGCGUCGACUGUGAAAACCCGGGGCUCAACUCCGGGCUUGCAUUCGAUACGGGCAGGCUAGAGUUCGGUAGGGGAGUCUGGAAUUCCUGGUGUAGCGGUGAAAUGCGCAGAUAUCAGGAGGAACACCGGUGGCGAAGGCGGGACUCUGGGCCGAUACUGACGCUGAGGAGCGAAAGCGUGGGGAGCGAACAGG